UUGCAAAGCACUCUGAAAAGAGGGUGAAAAGAACCUGAAACCGUUAUGUUGAGAGCGUAUUGCAGCAGAGUGAAGGGUGCGUUUUGUUCAGCUUGCGCUUGCGUAGGUGUACUCGGAACGUUAUCCGCCAGUCGUGAGCUUUCGGUGGCUGAUCCAUAGUCGCUGGAGGUGGAGGGCUCCCCUUUACGGGUAGAGGACGAAUCUGGAUAAUGCUGUGAUUCGACCCGUCUUGAAACACGGACCAAGAAGUCUAGCGUACAUGCGAGUCAAAGGGUGUAAAAACCUGUGGGCGCAGUGAAAGCGAUUUUAAAACGUUGCAGUUUGAGGCGGCAUACGAUCGUUGAUUGUAGGUCUGACCCCGAGCAUGUAUGAUAGGACCCGAAAGAUGGUGAACUAUGCUUGAGUAGGGUGAAGCCAGGAGAAAUCCUGGUGGAAGCUCGUAGCGGUGCUGACGUGCAAAUCGCUCGUCUAACUUGAGUAUAGGGGCGAAAGACUAAUCGAACCAUCUGGUAGCUGGUUUCCUCCGAAGUUUCUCUCAGGAUAGCGGACCGAUAUAGUGUUGUUGUGUGC
rnacentral:rRNA from 1 species